AAAUGAAUUGACGGGGGCCCGCACAAGCAGCGGAGCAUGUGGUUUAAUUCGAAGCAACGCGAAGAACCUUACCAGGUCUUGACAUCGAGGUAAACUUGCAGAGAUGCAAGGUGGAUUCGUCCGACCGAAGACAGGUGGUGCAUGGUUGUCGUCAGCUCGUGUCGUGAGAUGUUGGGUUAAGUCCCGCAACGAGCGCAACCCUUAUCUUCAGUUACUAACGCGUAAAGGCGAGGACUCUGGAGAGACUGCCGGGGAUAACUCGGAGGAAGGUGGGGACGACGUCAAAUCAUCAUGCCCCUUAUGACCUGGGCUACACACGUGCUACAAUGGUGUUGAACAAAGAGGAGCGAGCCAGUGAUGGUAAGCGGAUCUCAAAAAAGACAUCUCAGUUCGGACUGUGGGCUGCAACCCGCCCACACGAAGUUGGAGUUGCUAGUAAUCGCGAAUCAGAAUGUCGCGGUGAAUACGUUCCCGGGCCUUGUACACACCGCCCGU
rnacentral:rRNA from 1 species